rnacentral:rRNA from 1 species
ACGCUGGCGGCAUGCUUUACACAUGCAAGUCGGACGGCAGCACAGAGAAGCUUGCUUCUUGGGUGGCGAGUGGCGAACGGGUGAGUAAUAUAUCGGAACGUACCGAGUAAUGGGGGAUAACUAAUCGAAAGAUUAGCUGAUACCGCAUAUUCUCUGAGGAGGAAAGCAGGGGACCUUCGGGCCUUGCGUUAUUCGAGCGGCCGAUAUCUGAUUAGCUAGUUGGUGGGGUAAAGGCCUACCAAGGCGACGAUCAGUAGCGGGUCUGAGAGGAUGAUCCGCCACACUGGGACUGAGACACGGCCCAGACUCCUACGGGAGGCAGCAGUGGGGAAUUUUGGACAAUGGGCGCAAGCCUGAUCCAGCCAUGCCGCGUGUCUGAAGAAGGCCUUCGGGUUGUAAAGGACUUUUGUCAGGGAAGAAAAGGCUGUUGCUAAUACCGACAGCUGAUGACGGUACCUGAAGAAUAAGCACCGGCUAACUACGUGCCAGCAGCCGCGGUAAUACGUAGGGUGCGAGCGUUAAUCGGAAUUACUGGGCGUAAAGCGAGCGCAGACGGUUACUUAAGCAGGAUGUGAAAUCCCCGGGCUCAACCUGGGAACUGCGUUCUGAACUGGGUGACUAGAGUGUGUCAGAGGGAGGUAGAAUUCCACGUGUAGCAGUGAAAUGCGUAGAGAUGUGGAGGAAUACCGAUGGCGAAGGCAGGCUCCUGGGAUAACACCGACGUUCAUGCUCGAAAGCGUGGGUAGCAAACAGGAUUAGAUACCCUGGUAGUCCACGCCCUAAACGAUGUCAAUUAGCUGUUGGGCAACUUGAUUGCUUAGUAGCGUAGCUAACGCGUGAAAUUGACCGCCUGGGGAGUACGGUCGCAAGAUUAAAACUCAAAGGAAUUGACGGGGACCCGCACA